rnacentral:lncRNA from 1 species
GGUGCCGGCCCUUGGGAGGACAGUUGGGCCGUUUCUAACAAAGUCAGACCAUAAACGUUUCCCAUGCCCCAGCAGUUUCCCCUCCUGAGUAUCUAUGCAAGAGACACGAAAGCGUGUGUCCACAUGAAGACACGUGCGUCGGAGUUCCCAGCAGCAUUAUCAUCAUAGCCAGAAAGGGGGAAACGGCCCAAAGCUUGCAAGCUGGCAAGUGCAUAAACAAAGUGUGGGCUAGCUACACCCUGGAACACUGCUCAGCAAUGAAAAGAAGCAGAUCAAUUCAGGCUACAACACGGAUGAACUUUAAAAACCUUCUGCUUUUUCAAAGAAGCCAGCUACAAAGACAACAUCCCGUCUGACUGCAUGGAUGUGAACCUUCCAGAAAAAGCAGCUCCGCAGAGACGGAAAACAGAUGAGACGCUGCAUGGGGCUGGGGGCGGGACAGGGAGUCACCGCAACGGGCACAACAGACCUUUUGUUUGUUUGCUUUGGUCGUUUUAAUUUUUAUUGAAAUACAGUUGAUUUGCAGUGUCGGGUUGGCUUCAGGUGUACCGCAAAGCGAUGCGGUUAUACGUGUAUAAAUAUGUUCUCUUUUUUUACAUUCUUUUCCAUGACAGCCUGUUGUAAGAUGCUGAGACUAGUUCCCUGUGCUGUACAGUAGGACACUGUCGGCUGUAUGUUUUAUAUCUAUUUUAUAUACAGUAGCAUAUAGAGGUUAAUCCCAAACUCACAACAGGUCUUUUGAGGGUACCGGAAAUACUCUAAAACCAGUUGUGGGGAUAGUUGCCCAAGUCCAAAAUCAUUAUCCUGCACAUUUGAAAUUGACGAAUUUUAUGGUAUGCAAAUGACAUCGCGAUAAAGCUGCUUUUACAAAGGGGGACAGGAACAGACCGCCUAAGGUCCGAGGACGUGAGCUGCUGCAUUGGGAACAAAGAAGCCUUCUCCCCCUAACGCACAGGGAAGCCCGAGGGAGAGGAAAAGGCGCCCAUCGUUUUCUUCUCCGAGAAAUGCCUUGAAGGGCAGCCCUGGAGGACAGGUCCUGCGGGGCAGACGCUCUGCUGCUGAGCAAAUAUUCUCAAAGGGUCCCAAAGCAGGGUCAGGCCUGCCAGGGGCUCAGAUGGGACCAGCGCAAGCCGUGCCCAGCAGGGCUCCCCCCGCCUGGCUGAGCGAGUCUCCGAGAGGCCUGGGGCAGAAGCACAGCCCGGAUUCACUGUCCAGCAAGAGGAGAGGCCCAGUCAUCAGCAGAGGCAGGUGCCCCCUGCGAGUGGGGACCAGGGGAGAAGGGAAGCCCUUCCCUCACAGGAGCAGCCAGGAGAGCGGAAAGCAAAGAGCAAGGGACCAGGGACUCCCUGUGCCCACGGCAAUAAACUCUUCCAGGCACCUUGGCACCUCCUCGGCCUUCACCUGGGCUGGGCGAGACAGUGAAGAAACACAUGGAAAGAGCCCAUCAGAGCCGCGUUAGAAAAUAACGUCAAAAGAUUCCAGGAGCCUGACCCACGGGGAGAAGGGAGGACGCGGGGCGGAGAAGGUGGAGGCACGGCUGUGCCAGGCCGCCCGGGCUGGCGGGGACGAGGGGCUGGACUCCGAAGGCCACCUCAAAUCCCCCUCCACCCCAUUUUCGCUCAGUGACCGUCUGCAGCUCACGGGACCCUUGGGACCCACCCGCCACCAUCUCCUCGCGUGUCGAAACUCCACCCGCUGUAAAAAGCUGUGGGGUCUCAUCAAGAGGAUGCGAAGCCCGGAAAGGCAGGCGCUGUGCUCUGCCGAGAAUGGAAGCGUCUCUCGCUGCUCCAGCCCUGCGCUUACCACACCCGACUCCUCUUCUUCCGCAUGUUCUCAAAGGUGAGGGAAGAGAAAGGAAAAGAAAAAAGAAAACAUUCCAUUUCGCAUUAUGCCAACCUUAUCAUCAGCCAAUACCCCGGAAGGGUUAGAAAGUAGGCAGACCACAGAAGCCGGGGGCCACCAAUAAAGUGAUCAUGACACUUUCAGGUAAAGACUCGACAGGCGUUCCCGUCGUGGCGCAGCGGAAAUGAAUCUGACUUGCAUCCCUGAGGAUGCAGGCUCGAUCCCUGGCCUCCCUCAGUGGGUUAAGCAUCCGGCGGUGUUGCCAUGAGCUGUGGUGUAGGUUGUAGACACGGCUCGGAUGUGGCGUUGCUGUGGCUGUGGUGUAGGCCGGUGGCUCCAGCUCCGAUUCAACCCCUAGCCUGGGAAGCUCCAUAGGCCAUGGGUGCAGCCCUAAAAAAGCAAAAACAAAAAAGAUACAACUCAACCACCCUGGAGGUAAAAAAACAAACAAACAAACAAACAAACAAAAAAACCCGCACUUGGCCAGGAUUUUGUUUUAUGCCGACACUCUGGUGAGCGUAGAGCCCACUGCACAGGGCUACAGGACAUGGUGAGUAUUUCAUAAUUCUUGCUCAGAGGAUACGUCUGUCUCAGCCGGCUCAGCGCAGCCCCUGCCUCAGAACCCAUUCCCUGGUGGGACUGUAUGUUAAAAACGUUCACACCUGAAUUUUGGAAGACUCCCAAAAGGCGUAUGCACGGUAAGCCGUGCCUUUAACUCUGCCCUGGGAAUGCACGGAAGAGCCAGGUCAACAAAGGGCUCUCUCCCACCUCUAGGGCCUAAAUGCCGAGCAAAGAGUGACCUUCAAAGACAGGACAGAGGGACACCUUACCUAAAACUCGAAAGGAAGGAGGGUGUCUAUUCCCAGAGGGGGGUCAUUCAAAGCAAAGAAAUGCUUUGGGGAUGAAAGGAGAGGGGUGGGAAUAUUUCACCCCGCUGGAGAGGACCCCACACAGCCUAAAGCACACACCUCCGAAACGGAGGCCUCGUGGGGUUUAUAAGCUUUCCCUGCUUGCUCGUGUUCAAUCAGGGACAGAGAUACUGCAUUGAAACUGGAGCCAUGGGUGUCACUCACGGCAGAGGGGCUGAAAGGUCAGAAUCAGCGGGCAUGACAACACUUCCUAAAGCUGUCAGAACGGAAAUUCAAGAAGGAAUUCCAGGAUAACGACAUCCUUCUUCUCACAAACAAAAGCAGUGAAAGGCCUCGAUGGAACAAAUUCCUUGCUGCUUGUCGCACCCAACGUCUUUGGAAAACACGAAAGCCCUUAUUCUAGUCCACAGCUACCGCUGGGGUGAAAAUGGACAUGCCCCCUUUGAGGAGAAAUCUGAAGAUUCGGGUCCUCGGGGGAGAGGCAUUUCGUUAAUGCUGUAGGUUUUAUCUUGACACACCUGCCCAUCACGAAACGGGGAAACUAUGGUUUAUGAACCAAUGAACGCAAAGCAGACGCACAGGUCAGUGCAAACGUCAGCUUGGGGAACUGUAACAAACGCAGGGGCACAGGGUCCGUUCUCGCCCAGUGCUGUUCAGCGUUUCCACUAAUCCCUGGCUGACAGACUAGGCGAUAGACGUGGAGGUGUGUCACUACACAUGCCCAUUUAGAAAAAAGCAGUAAAGAUACAACUAGGUCUUGACAAGUCGGAAGACAAAGAGGGAUGUGCGGUAUUCCCAAGGCUCUGCUGGGUACAAAGCAGGUGUCCCAUGAAUGCUGGCUGAACCAAAUACACGCCAGUGAAAGGCCAGCAUGAGCGACUCCUACAGGAAGAAAAGACACUCGUGAACACGCUUCCAUGGACACCUACAUGCAUUUAAAACUCGAUCUAAAAUUCCUUUUCUGGAGUUCCCGUCGUGGCGCAGUGGUUAACGAAUCCGACUAGGAACCAUGAGGUUGCGGGUUCAGUCCCUGCCCUUGCUCAGUGGGUUAACGAUCCGGCGUUGCCGUGAGCUGUGGUGUAGAUUUGCUUCUGCUGAGCCGCAAUGGGAACUCCUAAAAUUUCUUAAAACACUGUAACCACGACGCACCAAAAGCAAGAUUUAGACAAUAGCCAUGCACAUUACUCAGACCGAACUGACAGGGGCAAACACCCCAAGGGAAGGAGCACGCUCGAUGGGUCAAAACACGGCGCUCGCGCUGUUAUCCUUUUCCUUAAGUGCAAGGAACAUGGACGGAUGGAUGGAUGGACAGACAGACAGGCAGACAGACAGGUAGCUUUCCAUCCCCCCCCCCACCCCCCAAAUGUGAAUGAGAGGAAAGAAAAGGAUGAGAGAAUAACUACCAAAGAUUAACUGCCUGAGCAGAAAACAGCAACAGCAAACAAAGCUGCAGCUGGUGGAGGAGAAAAGGGGGGUCCUACCAGGUCAAGCGCUGGAACCGCAAGCUCCACGCUCCUAAGUGGCUGACUCAUCCCCGAGCAGAGCAGGACAGGACACCAAAGCUAGAGAGACUCACUCGGACCCAGAUUCAUCUCCCUCUAAGCGUGCGAGUGGCUCCUAGAAGCUUCACCUUGUUUUUUGUUUGUCUGGGGGGAAGGGGUUUGAGGAGGAUUUAUUUUUAACUAGAAAGACAAAAAAAAAAAAAAAAAAAGGAAAGAGAAGAGAAGAAAAGAGAAGAAAGGAAAAGAAAAGAAAAGAAAACGUUUACUGACGGCAGCUACUCCACCAGAAGGCUCAGCCCUGCCCUGGGCAGUGAAAAGACCAGAAAUACAGACUCCUGUGCAACGUGGAAGAUUCAAGCAUGGCCAGGUAAAGAAGCAGAGGAAUCAAGAAAAAAUUUUCUCAUGCUAUUUUGGACCAAAUAACAGGUCUGGAUAGAAUUUCCCUUGGUUAAAAAAAAAAAAAUCAAUAAGCAGACAACAAAUAAAGGCUCUCCAACCACAACAAGAAACAAAUACAGGGAAGAAUUUAAACAACAUUUUGUUCUCUUGAGGAAACUUAAAAGGACUCUCACCUCAUGGAAAAGGAAAACAGAGAUCAAAGCUGUGGCUCAAAGU